GAGUGUAGAACGUGGAUGAAACAGCGUAACGCACUUUCUAUCUAUUUAAGUAAGUAAACAUCCACUAACACUCAAAGAUGCUGAUCUGCUGGUUAUAAGGGAGAUCAUUGGGUUUCAAUGAAAGUUAUUGCAGGUCAUGACUUAUGACGUAAUUGAAUUGAAGGGAUUUCCAAGUUCAAUGGAAUGAAUGCUGUUUUUCCAGCCUGAGUACAAUUUUACUUUUCUUGCUUCCAAAAUUUUCUUUUAAGCAUUAGUGGAUGUUAAAUGGAAAAAUUCAAAACUUUGCUAGAUAAGUGUUUUUGACUGAAUAAUACCCAGAAAUAAACAACAAACUAUUGCCUUCUUUAUUUCUGCUCCCACUUCCUGCACCCCUG